rnacentral:rRNA from 1 species
AUCCACGGCCCUACCACCCCGAAUGUGCCCGCUCUCGUCUGAUCUCGGAAGUUAAGCAGGGUCGGGCCUGGUUAGUACUUGGAUGGGAGACCUCCGGGGUAUCCCGAGUGCUGUAGGCU